rnacentral:lncRNA from 1 species
CCUCCCCCACAGCAGAUCAUCUCUGCCACCCAACACCUGUUUAGCCCCCAGGUGUGAAGCCACAGCUCAGCCCAGCUCCAGAGGUCUCUCCCUGCAACAGGUGGCUCAGGUUUUGUGUGGAUUUGAGCGUGAUUCCUCUUAAAUCUCUCCUGCAGCUCAACAAAGGCAUUUUAAACACGAGCUUCUGAAUGUUUUCUCCUCAGCUAACGUGGCUGAUCCCAGCCCCACACCCAGCCAACAGCACAGAACAGCUGAUGAAGGUCACAUCGUGAAGUCCCUGCGCAGGGAAAGCUCAGCCAGCCCAGCAAUCCCCGAACUCCAGCAGAGCUGGAUGCCAGGAAAAAGGCUGACAAUAAUGAACAUGAAGCCUCUGGAGGAUUUAACCACAAAAGCCCACAUCAAAAAUCACCUCCACAGAUGGAGGAAGACCAGAAUCGUGCAGCAGGUCUGUCUUGCCAUCACCCUCUGGAAAUCUCAUCCAAUCUCAGGAUGUUAUUGCCAGAUCACUGAAAAAUCUGCUUGAGAUGCUGAAUCAGACGUGAAUCACCGCAGAAUUGUUUGGGUUGGGAGAAAUCUUAAAGCCCAUCCAGUGCCACCCCUGCCAUGGCAGGGACACCUUCCACUGUCCCAGGCUGCUCCAAGCCCCAUCCGGCCUGGCCUUGGACACUUCCAAGGAUCCAGGGGCAGCCA